AUUGGCCAUUUGCUUUCUAAAAAAAAACCCUAGUUCACUUCACUUCAUUUCUCUUCUUCACUCGCUUCCUUGCCCGCUAUCUCUAGCCGUCGCGUGUUAUCUGCUUCUCCUGCUUGCGGAAGAACGUUACUUUGGUCAGAUCUGAAAUUGGAGUCACUAGUUUUUCCGUUGAGCAAUGGCUCUAGUUAUUCAUGCCGGGAAGAC
rnacentral:misc_RNA from 1 species